AAUGAACGCUGGCGGCGUGUUUAAGACAUGCAAGUCGUACGGAGUAACAUGAGUAGCAAUACAAGUGUUGCUCAGUGGCGCACGGGUGCGUAACACGUGAGUUACAUGCCCUGCAGAGAGGGAUAGCCCAGGGAAACUUGGAUUAAUACCUCAUGGUCCCGCAAGGGUAAAGGUGGCGAACGCUGCCGCUGCAGGAUUGGCUCGCGGCCUAUCAGCUAGUUGGUGAGGUAACGGCUCACCAAGGCGACGACGGGUACCUGGUCUGAGAGGACGAUCAGGCACACUGGAACUGAGACACGGUCCAGACACCUACGGGUGGCAGCAGUCGAGAAUCAUUCACAAUGGGGGCAACCCUGAUGGUGCAACGCCGCGUGGAGGAUGAAGGUCUUCGGAUUGUAAACUCCUGUCAUCUAGGAGCAAGGCAUGGUGGUGAAUAGCCAACAUGAUUGAUAGUACUAGAAGAGGAAGGGACGGCUAACUUCGUGCCAGCCGCCGCCGUAAGAC
rnacentral:rRNA from 1 species